AAUUCGAGUUCCCUGUCCAUCGACUCCAAGUCCUCUCUCCUGCGCCGCAUGCUGCCUCGCGCUCCCUUUCCUUCCCCCUCUACCCCCUUCCGCGAUUUACUGUUUCCUCGCGCCCAACAGAAAUGGGCGACCGCAAGUCUUACUCUCGCCGGCGUUACAAAGAAAGGAAGGAGGAGACCUGAACAGUACAUCCGGAGAAUCCAGCAAAGCAUACUACGGCAUGAACGUGCAAGUGGACAGAAUUAAAACACAUGCCAGAAACACUAAUGGAUUCUAAACAAGAUGCAGUUUCAUUUCCUGAGCCUAUACGUGAUGUUUUUAACUGUUCUCCAGUUAAUAUGUCUCCAUUUCCAGAAAUCUAACAGGAGAAUCUCUGACUGCUUAACAGAUCACCUAA
rnacentral:lncRNA from 1 species